CUCUGACUCGCCAAAGAAGAGGGGAGAGCGAGAGAGAGAGAGAGAGGGGAAGGGAGUGAGUUCCAUCCGCGCCAGAGUUGUAGCGCAGCACGAUCAUUACAGGCAGCAAACGUGAUUUACCAUGGCGACCAUCAUGCAGAAAAUCAAGGAUAUUGAAGACGAGAUGGCAAGGACACAAAAGAAUAAAGCUACCGCCCAUCAUCUCGGUUUACUAAAGGCUAAACUUGCAAAGCUACGAAGGGAGCUCCUAGCACCUCCGUCAAAAGGUGGUGGUGGUGGUGCUGGGGAAGGUUUUGAUGUUACAAAAAGUGGAGAUUCUCGAGUUGGCCUGGUUGGAUUUCCUUCAGUUGGAAAAUCAACCUUGCUUAAUAAAUUAACUGGUACUUUUUCGGAGGUUGCAUCUUAUGAAUUUACCACACUAACUUGCAUUCCAGGUGUGAUUAGUUACAGAGGUGCCAAAAUUCAGCUAUUGGAUCUCCCUGGUAUUAUUGAAGGUGCAAAGGAUGGCAAGGGAAGAGGAAGACAGGUGAUCAGCACUGCAAGGACAUGCAACUGUAUCUUGAUUGUCCUUGAUGCCAUAAAGCCAAUAACUCACAAGCGUCUGAUAGAGAAAGAACUUGAAGGAUUUGGCAUAAGAUUAAACAAGGAGCCACCAAAUUUGACCUUCAGGAAGAAGGAUAAGGGUGGAAUAAGUCUCACAUCAACAGUUGCAACCUCCCAUCUGGACCUCGAAACUGUGAAAGCCAUCUGUGGGGAAUAUAGAAUUCAUAAUGCUGAUAUCUCUCUUCGCUAUGAUGCUACUGUUGAUGACCUUAUAGAUGUAAUUGAGGGUAGCAGAAUAUAUACACCUUGCAUUUAUGUUGUUAACAAGAUUGACCAAAUAACUGUUGAGGAGUUAGAGAUCUUGGACAAACUUCCUCAUUAUUGUCCUGUGAGUGCACACCUAGAAUGGAAUCUUGAUGGUCUACUUGAGAAGAUAUGGGAAUAUCUAGACUUGACUCGCAUAUAUACAAAACCAAAAGGGAUGAAUCCAGACUAUGAUGACCCUGUAAUCUUGUCAUCUAAGAGAAGGACCGUGGAGGACUUCUGCACUAGAAUCCACAAAGAUAUGGUGAAGCAAUUCAAAUAUGCGUUGGUUUGGGGAUCUAGUGUGAAGCACAAGCCGCAAAGGGUUGGCAAGGAACAUGAGCUUGAAGAUGAGGACGUUGUUCAGAUAAUUAAGAAGGUUUAAUCCAAUGGGAUAAAUUUCAAGAAGCAUUUCCAGGUGAACCUUGACACUGUCUUUGGUUUUAGUGAGGAGAGCGGGACGUUUGUCUCAGAAUCAGCAGAUGGUAGUAAGCAUGGUGACUUUUGUGGACUGCUGCGGCUAUAGAAUAGUGAAACUUGAGGCAUGUCUGCAAUGUUACAAAGUUUCAGUUGUAAUUAUUUUUGUUCUUUUAGUUUAAGAUACAUUAGCGGUGAGAAGUUUUAUGAGGAUGGUCAAAUGAGAUAAUCCAGACGUCAAACAGGAUCAUCGUGCGAGUUAAUUAUGAAUGACAUUUUAGCCUUCUGAUCUCUA